AGCUGUUUUGAGACUGCAUUAAAGAAGAUAACUUUAUUUAACCCACAUAAAGACCAAUACUCAUUGUUUGUUGAGAGCGGCAGAAUGAGUCCAUCCAAGAUUUUUGUCUUGUUUAGGUUUAAACUUGACUGUGAAAAAUAUCACGUGAUUUUCGUCAGGUUUCAUAUCGAAAAUGGUAGAUUUUUUUGUUUAAUACUAGCAGCACCGGUUUGAAAACGUCAAAACACCGUCAAAUUACAGUAGUUUUUGAUGCAAAUUUGUAUUAUUGUUUUUACAACCUAAAAUCUAAAUUCUGUAUGAUUAAUUAAGUUAUUUACCACAAAAAUGUCUUUUGACGUCAACUGGAAUAUAGACCAGUACAGGGAAGAGCAUGAAAGCGAAGAACACUGGCAGUUGCGGCGAGCUUUUAUAGAGAGGUGGAAACAAGAUUAUCCUGAAGAAAGACUGGUUUGUUUGGCCAGAGUCUUCACAAAUAUGGAGUUCAUGGGCUGCAGAUAUCCUAGUGAGCUCAUGCACGAAGUUGCGGGGCUCUCACAUGAGAUAGCGCAAUCUUACCGCAAUUCAAAGAAAAACAAACUGCAAAGAACGUUUGUAUCCGCUUCUACAGCUGCGGAAGACCGCGCGAAGGGAGUCAAACGUCAAGGUGGCGUGGUAACGGAAGGUCCACAGAGUAAAUCUGCUAGAAUUGAAUUCGUAAGACCCGGCCAGGAAAUACCGGACACUGAAACGAAAAACGAUGAAAAUGAAAUUGAAAAACAGCCUGAAAAAGACAACACAGUUCAGGAGAAAGAGAAAACAACUGAACAAAAUUACAGUAGCGAGUACUUACAGGAGUUGUUCCAAAUGGAAUGUUUAGACGUUAGAUCAUUUAGAGAGAGCAUGUUCCAGACUCCUUUCGGGAGGAUGGUGUUGAUCAUACGGCCGUGGGCUGGCCUUUUGAACAAUAUUCAAGCCAGCUUCCAGUUGAGUGGUGUUGCAGUACAAAGCGCCUACGAGAAUGGCGCUUACACAAUGACCGUCAACGGAAAGGAGCUGGCUAAGUGGAAGGGAGAGUCCAAAGCCAACGCCCGGAGUCAAGUGGAAAAGAUGGCUUGGGAUAAACUCCGCAAGCAAGCCAUCAGCGUGUUGGUGAAGGAGCAGUAUCUGGCUCAGGGCGAGCGCAUCUCCAUGAGCGAGGUGACGGCGCGCCCGGACAUCUUCGGAGCGCCCAUCGAGAACAGCGUCGCUACCAAAAUGAUGAAGCUUAUGGGUUGGAAAGGCGGCGGGCUAGGUGCAGACGCUCAAGGCAUCGCCGAGCCCAUCAAGCCCAACAUGCAGCUGGUGAACAGGGCCGGCCUAGGCAGCGGCUCGUCCGACACGCGUCAGCUACGCCGCGCGGCCCACGAGCUAAUGCGACGCUACCUCGCCUCAGACACUUUAGACUUAGACCUGGUGUUCAGUUCGGAGUUCAGUAAGGACGAGCGCGCGACCCUACACCAGGCGGCGCAGCGCGCUGGGCUCCAGUCAAGGAGCUAUGGCGCGGACAAAGACCGGUGGGUGGUUCAAGUCUCGCAGCGAGAGUUGAGGCGAAAACGUACUUACAUCAGCCAAAAAUCUAGCGAUUUCCCAGCGUUUGAGACAAGUGGGUGUACUAAUGACACGAGCAGCUAUAGAGACAGAUGGGUGUACUGUGUGACACGAGCUCAUGCGGCGCUACCUCGCCUCAGACACUUUACACUUAGACCUGGUGUUCAGUUCCGAGUUCAGUAAGGACGAGCGCGCGACCCUACACCAGGCGGCGCAGCGCGCUGGGCUCCAGUCAAAGAGCUAUGGCGCGGACAAAGACAGGUUCCUAGUGGUGAAGAAGAAGUUGGAUCCCUUCUCCUUAGCGCGCGCCGUCAUAGAAAAGGGCGGAGUCACACCCAAGUACAAAGUGUUCAUACCCGCUGACUUGCAGUGGGAGAGAUAGGCCAUAUCAUUUGAUAGGAAUGUAGCCGUUAAGUCAACUAGCUGAGAGGCGAUAAUAGCCUAAAGGUGACGGGCCUAGGAUUCGCGCCGCGAUAUAUUUUUGUCGUGCUAAUUUAUCGAUUUUACGCGAUAAGCCCAUACAUUUGUCUAAAAUGAUCGAUAAGAUUUUAUCACGGCGCGCAUCCUAGGCCGGCUGAUCUGCCUAUCCCGAUCGAGUUAACUGCGCAUCUCGCUGGAAUGCGACUCUCCUUCUCACUCACCCGCAUACCUCCCCAGUGGCGGCGUAGCAUGGGUUGGCACCCGGGGCGAUCACCCCCCUCCCCCCGUCAUAAGUCCUAAGGCACCCCCUGGUACACCCCCCAGGAUUUUGGGGUUACCUACCGAUUCAAAGACAAUCGCAGAUUUUCCAUGCAGAUGCGCCAGUGAGUACUGAUCUGCGCGACUUGUGUCACCCCCUAAUGCUUGGCA